rnacentral:tRNA from 1 species
UGGGUUGUGGCUCAGUGGUAGAGUACUCACCUAGCAUGUGCAAGGCCCUGGGUUCAAUCCUCAGCAUCACAU